CGCGCUGCCUGCGGAUGUUUAUGUACACACACAGGCGUGCAAAUUCCCGUGCCAAAAAAAAAAAAAAAAAGCUCAUUUUCAUUCCAGUUAAGCCCACAAAAUGAUGCCGAAAACAGUCCUCUGUCCCCACCACUGCCAGCAUCGGACAAUCCUCCGCGCCCGCGGAGCCCCGCACCCCCGGCUGCUGCCCUGCCGCCGUGCCGCUCUCCGCUCAGCCGUCCGCCCCUCUCCCGCUUUUAUUAUCUUAUCUCAGUAAGUCGGCAGAAGACUGAUAGACCGAUAAAGAGGGGGUGAUAGAUUAAAAAAAAAAAAAAAAAAAAGGUAGAACAACAAGGAAUCAAAACAAACCGGAGCAACACCAACCUAAACAUCAGCCUGUCAGUAUCGCUCUGAAAUACAGCAAGAGACCUCGUACUUACAGCCAGCGCUAAACUUUAACCAACGAAGAAAACUGGACUUUGUGUGACUGCACCUUGUCUCACAGCCUCUGAGGAAAGAGGAGCCACUGAUUAUGCUUGCAUGGGAAGGUUACAGGCAAGGAAGAUUCCACAGGAGUGAAGAGGCAAUGUUACUCCCUGGCAGAGCUGCAGUCAUCCACAUAUCGAACACAGUGAGGAUCAAACUCUGCAUGUCUGUCUUCAAUUGGCGAUCCUCUCAGGUUUGACUGUCAGAUUCAGAGAGUGGGAUUCAACCCCUGGUCAAAAUACUGAUUUGACAAUGACAACCCAGCCUUAUUCCCAGGGUAAAGCUUCCUCUUAUGUUGCAGGCAGGGCUGAGCACUACAUUUUCUCUUCUGACUGCUAGUCAUGAAGUCAUGCAUAACGUCACUAGAGGUUCUAGUUCAGAUGCAAAGGUUAAAUGGAAGGUCUAUCCUUGCUUAAACCACAAAACAAAAUUGUUAGUCCUUGCUGAGUACUUAAGAAAGAGUGGCUUGUCAUAAACACUCAAAUCUCUUUAGCCACAAGAUCCCUAGGAUUGUUGUGAAAGGCUGUGAUGCAAUGAAAUAGUGGUAGCAAGUGACCAGUGAAUAAAGGAACUGCUUUUACAGUGUUUUCUUAUUGCUUCUGACAAUUAUAUAUGUUUCAAUCAUUAAAUAUAUUCCAUAUUUCUUCAACCUCUUAUAUUGUACUUUUCCCAUUAACAUUCCUGGUUGUAUUAUUGGCUAUAGAUUGUAUUUUAUGCUUAUGAAA